AGGACAUGCAGCCAGGUGCAGUGGCUCCACACCUGUAAUCCCAGCACUUUGGGAGGUCAAGGUAGGAUGAUCACUUGAGCCCAGGAGUUUGAGACUAGCCGGAGCAACAUAGCAAGACCUUGUCUCUACCCCAUAUUUUAAAACUAGCUAGCUGUGCUGGUGCACAUCUGUAGUCCCAGCUACUAGGGAAGCCGAGGUGGGAGGAUUGCUUGAGCCCAGGAGGUUGAGGCUGCAGUGAGCCAUGGUCGUACUACAGCACUUCAGCCUGGGCAACAGAGUGAGAUCCUAUCUCUAUCUCUCUAAAAAAAGGAUAGGUUUGAAUUGUGGGCCUUAAAGGAUGAAUAGAGCCUGCCAAGCACACACAAAAAAGGGGCAGAGAUAUUGCAAGCAGAGGAGGCAGCAUGGUUACCUAUACCUCCCCCCAGGAGUAAUGUUCCAGAAAUAAUUAAAUGGCAUGAGGUGGCCAUAGAUUUGCUUGUGAACUUUGCUCCCAAACUUUCUAUAACCAAGAAAAUGACAUUACAGGAGAUGCUAUGAACACCUGUCUUUGUGAGAAAGAAGCUUUGCCAAAAACCUACUGUCCUUGGGUGGUUUCAAAAGAUGCUGAUGGAGUUUUGCAGGGUCUUGGACACCACACAGAAGCAGAUCUCACAACCAACAGGGUAAGGUUGCUCCCCACAAUGACCCUAUGUGGCAGUUUUUAAAAAGGUUUGCAAAUUAUUUGGCCUUCCUCCUUCCAAAAGGUGGAGUCUAAUUUCUCUCUCCUUGAAUGUAGGUCAGACUUAGUGACUUAUAUUACUUUUCUUUUUUGAGACAGGGUCUUGCUUUGUUGGCUAGGUUGGAAUGCAGUGGCACGAUUAUGGCUCACUGCAGCCUCGACUCCCGGGCUCGAACAAUUCUCCCACCACAGCCUCUCAAGUAGCUGGGACUGUAGGUGUGCACCAGCAUGCCUGGCUAAAUUUUUAUUUUUAUUUUUGCAGAGACAGGGUCUCACUAUGUUGCCCAGGCUGAUCUCUAAGUCUUGGGCUCAAAUAAUCUUCCCACUUCAGUCUCCCAAAGUGUUGGGAUUACAGGCAUGAGCCAUGGCAUCGGGCCAUGACUUACUUUUAAUGAAUGGAAUAUGACAAAAGGGAUUCUCUGACUUCCGAGGUUAAGUCAUAAAAAGAAUACAGCUUCUGCCUAGCGUUCAGUGCUAUCUUUUUCUGUUUAUCUUUCUUCCUCUCCAUUAUCCCCAUUCCUACCUCUCUCUGAACACUCACUUUUGGAACCCAGCCACCAUGUUGUGAGGAAGCCCAAGCUCCCUGGAGAAACCACUUGGAAAUAUUUCAGCAGAUGGCAGGUGGCACAGAAGCACAACUGAAAAUGUCCAAGGUAUACUCUUCCCAAGAAGCACAGAAGUUGGAGGAAUGCAAGCCUCUCAGAUGCCUUCUGUGGCCCCCCUCAGCACACUGUGAGGGGAAAUCACAUUAUUUCAGGGUGAGCUUCAUCAGAAG
rnacentral:lncRNA from 10 species